rnacentral:rRNA from 1 species
CCUACGGGAGGCAGCAGUGGGGAAUAUUGCACAAUGGGGGAGACCCUGAUGCAGCGACGCCGCGUGAGUGAAGAAGUAUCUCGGUAUGUAAAGCUCUAUUAGCAGGGAAGAAAAUGACGGUACCUGACUAAGAAGCCCCGGCUAACUACGUGCCAGCAUCCGCGGUCACACGGAGGGGACCAGCGUUAUCCGGAUUUACUGGGUGUUAAGGGAGCGUAGACGGUGAUGCAAGUCAGAAGUGAAAGCCCGGGGCUCAACUCCGGGACUGCCUUUGAAACUGUGUGACUGGAGUGCAGGAGAGGUAUGCGGAAUGCGUGGUGUAGCGGUGAAAUGCGUAGAUAUCAGGAGGAACGCCAGUGGCGAAGGCGGCUUACGGGACUCUAACUGACGUUGAGGCUCGAAAGCGUGGGGAGCGAACAGGAUUAGAUACCCCAGUAGUC